AGCGUACACGGUGGAUGCCCUGGCAGUCAGAGGCGAUGAAGGACGUGCUAAUCUGCGAUAAGCGUCGGUAAGGUGAUAUGAACCGUUAUAACCGGCGAUUUCCGAAUGGGGAAACCCAGUGUGAUUCGUCACACUAUCAUUAACUGAAUCCAUAGGUUAAUGAGGCGAACCGGGGGAACUGAAACAUCUAAGUACCCCGAGGAAAAGAAAUCAACCGAGAUUCCCCCAGUAGCGGCGAGCGAACGGGGAGCAGCCCAGAGCCUGAAUCAGUGUGUGUGUUAGUGGAAGCGUCUGGAAAGGCGCGCGAUACAGGGUGACAGCCCCGUACACAAAAAAUGCACAUGCUGUGAGCUCGAUGAGUAGGGCGGGACACGUGGUAUCCUGUCUGAAUAUGGGGGACCGAUCCUCCAAGGCUAAAUACUCCUGACUGACCGAUAGUGAACCAGUACCGUGAGGGAAAGGCGAAAAGAACCCCGGCGAGGGAGUGAAAAAGAACCUGAAACCGUGUACGUACAAGCAGUGGGAGCACGCUUAGGCGUGUGACUGCGUACCUUUUGUAUAAUGGGUCAGCGACUUAUAUUCUGUAGCAAGGUUAACCGAAUAGGGGAGCCGAAGGGAAACCGAGUCUUAACUGGGCGUUAAGUUGCAGGGUAUAGACCCGAAACCCGGUGAUCUAGCCAUGGGCAGGUUGAAGGUUGGGUAACACUAACUGGAGGACCGAACCGACUAAUGUUGAAAAAUUAGCGGAUGACUUGUGGCUGGGGGUGAAAGGCCAAUCAAACCGGGAGAUAGCUGGUUCUCCCCGAAAGCUAUUUAGGUAGCGCCUCGUGAAUUCAUCUCCGGGGGUAGAGCACUGUUUCGGCAAGGGGGUCAUCCCGACUUACCAACCCGAUGCAAACUGCGAAUACCGGAGAAUGUUAUCACGGGAGACACACGGCGGGUGCUAACGUCCGUCGUGAAGAGGGAAACAACCCAGACCGCCAGCUAAGGUCCCAAAGUCAUGGUUAAGUGGGAAACGAUGUGGGAAGGCCCAGACAGCCAGGAUGUUGGCUUAGAAGCAGCCAUCAUUUAAAGAAAGCGUAAUAGCUCACUGGUCGAGUCGGCCUGCGCGGAAGAUGUAACGGGGCUAAACCAUGCACCGAAGCUGCGGCAGCGACGCUUAUGCGUUGUUGGGUAGGGGAGCGUUCUGUAAGCCUGUGAAGGUGUACUGUGAGGUAUGCUGGAGGUAUCAGAAGUGCGAAUGCUGACAUAAGUAACGAUAAAGCGGGUGAAAAGCCCGCUCGCCGGAAGACCAAGGGUUCCUGUCCAACGUUAAUCGGGGCAGGGUGAGUCGACCCCUAAGGCGAGGCCGAAAGGCGUAGUCGAUGGGAAACAGGUUAAUAUUCCUGUACUUGGUGUUACUGCGAAGGGGGGACGGAGAAGGCUAUGUUGGCCGGGCGACGGUUGUCCCGGUUUAAGCGUGUAGGCUGGUUUUCCAGGCAAAUCCGGAAAAUCAAGGCUGAGGCGUGAUGACGAGGCACUACGGUGCUGAAGCAACAAAUGCCCUGCUUCCAGGAAAAGCCUCUAAGCAUCAGGUAACAUCAAAUCGUACCCCAAACCGACACAGGUGGUCAGGUAGAGAAUACCAAGGCGCUUGAGAGAACUCGGGUGAAGGAACUAGGCAAAAUGGUGCCGUAACUUCGGGAGAAGGCACGCUGAUAUGUAGGUGAAGUCCCUCGCGGAUGGAGCUGAAAUCAGUCGAAGAUACCAGCUGGCUGCAACUGUUUAUUAAAAACACAGCACUGUGCAAACACGAAAGUGGACGUAUACGGUGUGACGCCUGCCCGGUGCCGGAAGGUUAAUUGAUGGGGUCAGCGCAAGCGAAGCUCUUGAUCGAAGCCCCGGUAAACGGCGGCCGUAACUAUAACGGUCCUAAGGUAGCGAAAUUCCUUGUCGGGUAAGUUCCGACCUGCACGAAUGGCGUAAUGAUGG
rnacentral:rRNA from 1 species